CCUACGGGAGGCUGCAGUGGGGAAUAUUGCACAAUGGGCGCAGGCCUGAUGCAGCCAUGCCGCGUGUGUGAAGAAGGCCUUCGGGUUGUAAAGCACUUUCAGCGGGGAGGAAGGCGGUGAGGUUAAUAACCUCAUCGAUUGACGUUACCCGCAGAAGAAGCACCGGCUAACUCCGUGCCAGCAGCCGCGGUAAUACGGAGGGUGCAAGCGUUAAUCGGAAUUACUGGGCGUAAAGCGCACGCAGGCGGUCUGUCAAGUCGGAUGUGAAAUCCCCGGGCCCAACCUGGGAACUGCAUUCGAAACUGGCAGGCUAGAGUCUUGUAGAGGGGGGUAGAAUUCCAGGUGUAGCGGUGAAAUGCGUAGAGAUCUGGAGGAAUACCGGUGGCGAAGGCGGCCCCCUGGACAAAGACUGACGCUCAGGUGCGAAAGCGUGGGGAGCAAACAGGAUCAGAUACCCUAGUAGUC
rnacentral:rRNA from 1 species